rnacentral:sRNA from 1 species
AGGUGCUUCCAGGGCUGCCAGAACAGUGCCACAGGCUGAGCAGCUGCAGCUGCAGACAUGUGUCGUCCGUGGUUCUAGAGGCUGGAAGCCUGAGAUCAAGGUGUCCGUCCACCAGGCUGGCCCCUUCUGAGGCGUGAGGAAGUCUGCUCCGCCGCUGCCGGCUUCCGGGUGUUCCUUGGCUGGUGAGCACCUGCGGAUCUGCCCCCAGGGCUACACCUGCUGCACCAGUGAGAUGGAGGAGAACCUGGCCAACCGCAGCCGUGCCGAGCUGGAGACCGCGCUCCGGGACAGCAGCCGCGUCCUGCAGGCCAUGCUCACCACCCAGCUGCGCAGCUUCGAUGACCACUUCCAGCACCUGCUGAACGAUUCGGAGCGGACGCUGCAGGGCACCUUCCCCGGCGCCUUCGGAGAGCUGUACACGCAGAACGCGAGGGCCUUCCGGGACCUGUACUCAGAGCUGCGCUUGUACUACCGCGGCGCCAACCUGCACCUGGAGGAGACGCUGGCAGAGUUCUGGGCCCGCCUGCUCGAGCGCCUCUUCAAGCAGCUGAACCCCCAGCUGCUGCUGCCCGAUGACUACCUGGACUGCCUGGGCAAGCAGGCUGAGGCGCUGCGGCCCUUCGGAGAGGCCCCAAGAGAGCUGCGCCUGCGGGCCACCCGUGCCUUCGUGGCUGCUCGCUCCUUUGUGCAGGGCCUGGGCGUGGCCAGUGACGUGGUCCGGAAGGUGGCUCAGGUCCCCCUGGGCCCAGAGUGCUCGAGGGCUGUCAUGAAGCUGGUCUACUGUGCUCACUGCCUGGGAGUCCCCGGUGCCAGGCCCUGCCCUGACUAUUGCCGAAACGUGCUCAAGGGCUGCCUCGCCAACCAGGCCGACCUGGAUGCCGAGUGGAGGAACCUCCUGGGUGAGCCCCCACCCGCCAGAGCGGCCUGGAACUGUCUUGGGGAGUGCACGGCUGGGGGUCCUGGGGGCGGGUGGUCCCUAGCUCAGGACUUGGACCCAGGGGCCUGAUCAGGGAUGCCCUGACCUGGGCCAGAUCUGGGUGGUGCUGCAGGGUUGAGGGGCCAGGGUGCCUUUUGGAUGUCCUGAGUGAUGUGUGACUUGGGGCAGCUGCCAGGGAGGGAGCCCUGUGGGGUUGUAGUUUCUGGUCCUUCCCCAGUUAGCAAGCACCUCAGUGUGCAUACAUGCCAACACGUGUGACUCAUCGAGGAUCAGCGCUUGUUUAAGCUAACACAUAUAGGCACUGCCACAUGACAGGCUAACACAUGCGAACUGGCGUGCACACUUGCUGACACACAGUGGGCCACUGCCCACCAGUACGGCAUAUGCUCCUGUGUGCAUGUGAUGACAUGAGCUGGGCUGACCCACAUCAAUGCCAACACGUGUGUGCUAAUAUGUACAUGCUUAUCCAGAUCCACUAACAUGUACACAUGCUUACUUGGGGGGGACAGCAUGCAUCUGUGCCAACACACGUGCUAGCAUGUGCUGACACGGGGCCAACAGGUGUGUGCUAAUGUAAUGGGAGCUGACAAAAUGCAUAAGCUUUACUUGUACACGUGCUCACCAUGCACGCAACACACACAUGAACUAAGGUGUACAUGGGGGGGCAUGAGGUGAGCCAGCAUGCAUACACACCAGCUCACGUGGGCUCGUGCACACAAGCUGGACCAAGGUCAGCCAGCAUAUGUACAUGUCAACACCUGCAUGAAGCAGCGUGGACAUACGAGACACGGCAGGCCAGCAGGCAUGCAGAAUGGCCUCUGUGUGUGCGUGUUCACCUGUGCCCGUGGCACAGGUACACACGUGGGCGUGGGCCAGGCUGAGUGCACGUGGCCUGCACACGUCACAUGGGCCAACCUGAGUGCAUGCGCAGGAUCUCCCGUGCUGACCUGUGCCGUCAAGACUGCACUGACAUGCAUACGUGGUGACGCCUGCAUGUGCGCGUCAACGCCUGUGUGCGUGCACGUCACCUGUGUGCACGCGUGUUAACGCCUGUGUGUGCGCGUGUGUUAACGCCUAUGCUAGACUCCAUGGUGCUCAUCACCGACAAGUUCUGGGGUGCAUCGGGUGUGGAGAGCGUCAUCGGCAGCGUGCACACGUGGCUGGCGGAGGCCAUCAACGCCCUCCAGGACAACAGGGACACGCUCACGGCCAAGGUCAUCCAGGGCUGCGGGAACCCCAAGGUCAACCCCCAGGGCCCCGGGCCUGAGGAGAAGCGGCGCCGGGGCAAGCUGGCCCCUUGGGAGAGGCCACCUUCAGGCACUCUGGAGAAGCUGGUCUCCGAAGCCAAGGCCCAGCUCCGUGACGUCCAGGACUUCUGGAUCAGCCUCCCAGGGACACUGUGCAGCGAGAAGAUGGCCCUGAGCACUGCCAGUGAUGACCGCUGCUGGAACGGGAUGGCGAGAGGCCGGUACCUCCCCGAGGUCAUGGGUGACGGUCUGGCCAACCAGAUCAACAACCCCGAGGUGGAGGUGGACAUCACCAAGCCGGACAUGACCAUCCGGCAGCAGAUCAUGCAGCUGAAGAUCAUGACCAACCGGCUGCGCAGCGCCUACAACGGCAACGACGUGGACUUCCAGGACGCCAGUGACGACGGCAGCGGCUCGGGCAGCGGUGAUGGCUGUCCGGAUGACCUCUGCGGCCGGAGGGUCAGCAGGAAGAGCUCCAGCUCCCGGACGCCCUUGACCCACGCCCUCCCAGGCCUGUCAGAGCAGGAAGGGCAGAAGACCUCGGCUGCCAGCUGCCCCCAGCCCCCCACCUUCCUCCUGUCUCUCCUCCUCUUCCUGGCCCUUACAGUAGCCAGGCCCCGGUGGCGGUAACUGCCCCAAGGCCCCAGGGACAGAGGCCAAGGACUGACUUUGCCAAAAAUACAACACAGACGAUAUUU